AAGCUCGAUCUAGAACCUUGUUAAGGUUCAGCUGUGAUAAAUGCACAUUUUUGCAUUUUCUUAACUGGUCUUUAGAUUUUGAUCAGGAGUUUUUGAUCAAAGAACAAUGGAUUCUUCUCUGGAAGACAAGAUCCCUUUUUAUUUUUUCUCUCAUAGCUCCACAAACAGAGACGUGUCCUAAAGUCCAGAAAAGGUUCUGCAGACGUGAACAAUGGCGUCUGUUGGUGCUGUGUACAGUCCUGUCAGCUGGGAUCAUCAUUCUAUCCUCAUUCACGUGGGUCAACAAUAACAAUCUGCAGAUGGAAGUCAAGGAGCAAAAGAAUCACUCUGAAGACAUGGUGGUUAACAUUAACAAUCUGCACAGAGAAGUGAAGGAGCUAAAGAUACACUUUGAAGAUCUUCUGUUGUCUUUGGAAAACAGACUGAAAACCAGAAACAAUCACCUGCAGACUGAACUUUCAGGCGAGCAUCUGAACGAAGAGCUGCAGAAACCAAAUCUUCGAAAGUCUGAGCCUCAGAUGGCGCUGUAGGUUGAGAAGGACAGACAAACAUGCGCGGAGGGAUACGUCAGUUGUGAGAUCUGUGAGCUGGACCUCAGACAGUUGAGAGAACGUGAGCAAGUUGUCCCCGUUCUUUUAUGUUUUCUCUUGAAAGAAAGACGGCUAUCUUUGAGAUAUUGCCUCCCAGAUGACAAGUUUCUGUUUUGUUUCACAUUCACAAAGGACUUGGUCAGGUUUUUUCAUUGUGUGAAUUCACCACCGUCGCGAAUGCCAAGUUCCCACACCGCAGCAAAUGAAGGAAGUAUGGUGAUGGCGAGCCACCCAACUGGAGUCUGAACGGAACCAACUUCAAAAGAGCCCUGGAACUUUGAUUGCCUCAAAGGAGAAAUUGAACAUUGCGUUCAAUCGUGGUAGGAAAGUGACUACCUUAAUUCCACAGGUGUCUAGUCGCCUGGACCUAAAAGAACUGCUCAAGGACGGAACAGACUUAUAUUUCUUUUUUGAGAUUUUGUUUUGGUUAAGAGGACUUUAUUUUUAUUGCAUUACUUUUUUGUGAACCAACCUGGUAUAUCAGGUUUAAAAUUGAAACAUUAAGGUUCAUUUUACCAAAGAGUAUUUUUCUGAAAACCUUGCAAGGUAAAAUUUGACCAACCCCGGGGUUAACCAAUUUUCUUUCUACACAAAUUUUAUUUGGGUUAUCAGGUUUAAUUGUUCAUGUUCUGGAAUUAUUUGAAAUUGUUUUUGUUAAUUCCCAUCCAUUUAUAAAUAAGUUAAAAGUUAAAAAAUCAUAAUUGUGGUCUGUGAUUAUUUAUUUAAUUUAGUCUUUUCAACUGCCCCUCUGAACCUAGAACUAUUCUGGUCCAACGCAGCAUUUGAGGUGCUACAUUUACAAUUAAAGUUAUCUUGCUAUGAUCGGGCUGAUAACAUUUGGGUGCUUGUUGAAAAAUUAGUUGGCAUUUUAACAAAACUCCUAAACAGUCUUUCACUUCCCCGUGGAAGGGUUCCGGUUGUAGGUGGAAAUUCUCCGAUGACUAGGCGGAUGCGAUGCAUGUUUGCUGAGCACGGAAGUGGAGUGGUACUCUUGGGAGUUGUAGUCAAAUGACUAGUUAGGUCCUUCAAUGUCCGGGAGAUGCUAUCCAUACGGUGAAACAAAUCCUGUUGAACAACCGACAUCCGAGCUAAGGCAUUGGCAUGUAAAUUCAGGAAAGCUUCCUGCUGUGAAACCGUGAUGUAAAGAUCUCUCGGGUCAGCUGGGUCUGAGUGUGGCCAGUUCAUUCUGUCAUGAUUAGCUCAUGAUUAGCUGUGCCAAGAACAGACCCAAGCGCUGGAACCCGAAAUGAUCAAACACCUGGCUUAGACGUUAAGGGAGUUUAAAUGAGUUAGUGGACGUUGGCAAGCGGGUCGGUAGAGCCGUCACCAGCGAGGAGGCUUGGAUCUUGGAGUGAUGUGGACUGAAGGUGAACGGGGUUGCGGCAGAACUGGAGUUGAUGCCAUGGCUGGAGUUGUGGCAGGUAAGGCAGUCUUGAAGGUGAGGUGCGUGGAACUGAACCCAGGUUGCCAAAUGUGGAGGGCAGAUCUCUGUGGGCGGAUCAAGAGCUAGAGUUAGUCUGAACAUGAACAAAACAGAUUGAACGUAGAUGCGACCAUGUAUGCAUCAUAGUUGGCAACGAACUGGCGAUUAAUACUGGACCGGAGCCAUCUUAAAUACAGGUGCAGGUGAUGAGGUGAAAUGUCAACAGCUGGAUCCAAUCUGGACGAACGCAGAGAAGGGAGGGGGACGAGAGGACACCCGGAGGCACCAUGACACAUAGAUCCUCCUGAAUAGACUAGUUAAGUUAGCUGAUUUCCAGCAUGUGAUGGAAUUUCUCCAGACUACUUAAGGUUGAUAUCCGGCUUAAGUCCAGCAUGAAAUACGGAGCAGACAAGAUGCAGAAUGCAUUUAGAAAAGCCUGGAUACAAAUCUGCAGUUGUUUAAAUGACUUUCCUAACACUUUCUGCAAAACAAGCAUCCUGUCUAACUUCAUAAUUUUCCAAAAGUCUAUUUUAGCUCAGACUUGAAUUAAUGCAAUAAGAUGAACUACAACUGUGACUAUCAGAAGCAGAAGAAUCUUCAAGCUGAGAGAAGAAACUGUUUCAGAGUUUUCAAGUUUUUUGGGAGUUUUCUGUUUUCUGAUUCUGGCUGGACUCAUGACUCGCUGUAAAAAUUGAACAUUUUAUUUUAUAAUAUCUCAUUCAGUUUUUAGGUAAUUCUAUCUUUUUGUGGUUUUUAUAUAUAUUUGUUUUUUUCAUGUCAGAAAUGUAACUCCUCAACAUCAUAGUUCAUUUAAAAACUUCAAACUAGUAGCAGACUUUUAUUUUCCAAUUCAAGAAGAUAUUUUAUUGAUUUUUAUCCUCAAAGCAAGCAAAGUAAACUUGAAUUUAAAUAAACUUGUUUUGGUUUAUUUAACCAAAAAAUGCAAUUUUCCAGACAUGGCGGUCAACAUUAACAAUCUGCAGAGAGAAGUGAAGGAGCUAAAGAUACACUUUGAAGGUGAGAAAGAUUAAAAACACCUAAACCAUUUUUAUUUCACCUCAUUUACUCAAUUUUUUGUAACACUUGCGAAAUGGGUUAAACAUGUUUCUAGCCCAGUUAAGCUUAAAAGUGUGAUGUACGGUGCUUGCUUGACUCCGACCACUAGGGGGAGUCUGUUUUGUAUGGUUCGGAUUGCAUGUACGUAAAAGAAGAGAACGAACAUGGUGGAAUAAACAGAGACACGUUCCGGAUAUACUGACCUCCAUGUGUCGUGAAUAUCAGGUCCAACAUCAUUACAAAAAGGAUACAUUAUUAAAUUUGUUUUUUGUUAAGUCAGUUUUAUUUUAGAUACAGAAGAUAAAAAAACACUAACAGUAAUGUUAUUGUUACCAUGACAACAUCUUAUAAAAAUCAUAAAAUAAGUUAUUUUGGUACAUA
rnacentral:lncRNA from 1 species